rnacentral:rRNA from 1 species
GAUGAACGCUGGCGGCGUGCCUAACACAUGCAAGUCGAACGUGAAGCUUGGUACUUGUAUCAGGCUGAAAGUGGCGAACGGGUGAGUAACACGUUGGUGACCUGCCCCGAGGAGAGGGAUAACUCCUUGAAAGAGGAGCUAAUACCUCAGAUGACUGGACUGUUAGAGGGUCCAGCCUAAAGCUCCGGUGUCUCGGGAGGGGCCUGCGGGCUAUCAGCUAGUUGGUGGGGAAGAGCCUACCAAGGCGAAGACGGCUAGGGGGCGUGAGAGCGUGACCCC